GCGAAUGUGGCGAAGUGGUUAACGCACCGGAUUGUGGCUCCGGCAUUCGUGAGUUCGAUUCUCAUCAUUCGCCC
rnacentral:tRNA from 2 species